rnacentral:lncRNA from 1 species
GAACAAUAAAAGUAUAGCAGCUACUGUAAGCAUGAACAUAAAUAUGAAUGUGUAAGCAGAAACUGUACACUAUGACUGGUGAUCAUUCAUUACUGUCCAAUGUCCUUUAGCACUUUUCUUUCAUUCACAGGGACCUACCCAAGGUAGUCCAGCUUGCGCCGCGCCUAAUGGCCCCGUGGUAGUAUACACUCCCCACGGCAAUCCACUUCGGCACCCAAUCCCGCACGGGCGA